rnacentral:lncRNA from 1 species
CAGGACGGGACGGCUCGAGACCACGCCGGUACGGAGGCCUCGAGUAGGUCAGCGCGCCAGUGAUGUGAACCCACUAGGGUUUUCGCCUGAUCUUUCGAUGAGAGGCGCUGGAUAACUCGAUUAGUGAAUGGAGAUGACGUUCACGGCCUGACUACAGCCUUCUAAGGCCACGCCUUAGCAACCGAUACACCGCCUCCAAUGGCUGUCACGAUCUUGUGGAGCGCAACACCCGGCCACUAGGGCACUCGUCCUGCAAGCAAUCGAAGAACCAGCAAGAACAAGUAGAACAAGUACUAAAUUACUAGAUGUAAAUGAAGGUUUCAAACUUAAUCUCUAAUGAAGUGGGGUUUCGAAAACAAGAAGACGGACGGCUGGAUCAGCACGCGCGUUUACAAGCAAGUAGCGAAGGCUAAACUUUAUCUAAUCAAAACCCAGUUGUUCAUGGCGGCUCU